rnacentral:lncRNA from 1 species
AUGGGAGAAACCUCUCUGCUGACAAAUGACGUACAGAAGGUAAGGAGCAAAUCUCAAGGCAAGGAAGGAGCAGCUCCGGGAAGGAAAGAGACAGUUUUCAUCAACAGUGAUGUUUCAGAAAAUGAAUGCAAGUGCUUCCAAGACCUACAGUUUUAAGAAAGCAGAUUCUAAAGCAUUAGCAUUGAAUUUGUAUACAAUGAAGUAUGCACUUGGGUGAGUAUGUCCAUUCUACGUUAUUUAAAUUAUAAAAGUUCAGUAAAUGUCUCCUAGAAGGUUGAUUUUAUG